UCAUAAGAAUGAAUAUUGUCAAGGCAUAAAUCAGUCGCUUUGCUACAUGAUAAACUCCAAUAAGAACAAUUUUUAUUAGUAUUAGUUAAUAACAAUUUUUCUUAUUGGAUCAUAAAUAAAUCGCGUAUUUUUUGUGUAAAAUCCAAAGACAUAAAUAGAUGAAAGAAUGACAGGCUAGUCUCUGAUAUACCACCGUAGAAUAAUUUCAAUAGUUUUUUAAUAUAUUAUCAAAGCAUAAUUUUGAACAACUUUUUAAGCUAAUCCACGGACAACCCUAGUUUCUGAGAUAUUCACAAAAAGCUGUCGCUAUCACUACAGUGAAUUCUGCCUACAAUUGUGCAUUUCAAUGUUUCUUACAAGCAUAAAAUUUGUAAUAGUUUAAAGUUUUUCUCGAUUUAUAGAUAGUUUUUAAAAUACAGUCAUUUUGUCUCAGAGUUUAAUUUGUUAAAGUUUGUGUUCGUUUCUAAACCAUUCAGUAGUUAUUAGGUUUCCUUAAUUUGAAACUUACAAGCGCGAGUAAAAUGCUUUAACACUCCAUGGGCAACAAACCAGUCUGAAAUCCCUCAAAGUAUAGUUCAUAUAUUGAAUAGGUAAUAUGCAGUAAGGUAUAAAAUAAACAUGGAAAUUAAAGUUAAUGUACAAUUGCAAGAACUUCAACUUUUAUCAUUAUGUAUUGAAGGAAGAAAUUACGAUUAAUACAAAUAUAUCAAACGUGAAAGUUACAACUAUGUAUUUAAAAAUACAAGUAUUUAAGAAUAUAUGUAUAUAUAUAAAGAAUAAAUUACCACUUUAUCUUCAAAUGUAAGGAAGAUUGGAUUAAUAGAAUUAUAUUAAUUGUUCAAAGAGAAGUUAUCUUUAUUGUGGGACAUACUAUCAUUUUUAUAAUUACAGAAAGAAUCAAUUUCAACCAUGUGUAUAUAUAACUACAAUGGAAAAUAAAUUUUAUAGUAAGACAAUAUUCAAGUAAAACAACAUGUUGUAUGUCUACAGCAAAAUAUAUGAUUAAUAAAUCAAUAAAUUAGAAAUAGUAAUUGUGGUAAACAAUUUCUUUUUUAGCAUAAUAAUACAUACAUCGUUAAUAAGCGAAGAUAUAUAUGUUAAGGACUGUGUUUGAUUUUCUUUAAAACAAUUGUUCACAGCCCUGUGAUAAAUGCGUGAAAUUAAAAGCAGAAUUCAAAAAGUUCAGUACAGCUAACAAAAAUAUAUCUUGCACGUAAAUCAGAAUUCGAAAACUCGAAAAUCGACAAGGUAUCUAUAUAUGUGGUAUAUUAUUCGCGUAUCAUCAACCACCUGUCGCGUAUUCAUAUGUUCAACAACACGUAUACAUAUAUACAUACGCAGUACGUACGUACGUACAUACGUACGCUUAUAUAUACAUACAGCAAUGAUACGCGUAUCAUUGGUUAAAAAUUACUCUCAUACUGACUCGUUUAAACGCAAAGGGACGCUCGAUUUGACUCUCGCGGAAAAAGGGCGCCUGCCACUGCUUGACGACAAAGCUGCGGACAAAGCCUGCAAGUGACAUCAGCAGUCAAAAUAAAGCAAAGGUAUUGAUGAAUAAAAAUUUAUUAUAUCAUCCUCGGAAUAAUUUUAAACGUACGAUGCAAAGUACUCCUGAAACUUAACGAUUAAGGAAAUAAUCUUGUAAAAAAUUUUAUUUGUAAAAACCUGGAACAAAUGCAACAUGACCUUCAAAAUUUUUAUAUGAUGUAUUAAUUAGAAAAUUUCAUUAUAAUCUUGUACAAUCUCUACAUUUAGCAUGGUUGCUCCCCAUGAAAG